UACAGAGGGGGCAAGCGUUGUUCGGAAUUACUGGGCGUAAAGGGCGCGUAGGUGGCCUUCUAAGUUGAACGUGAAAUCCCUGGGCUCAACCCAGGAACUGCGUCCAAGACUGGGAGGUCUUGAAUCCGGGAGAGGGAUGCGGAAUUCCAGGUGUAGCGGUGAAAUGCGUAGAUAUCGUGGAGGAACACCGGUGGCGAAGGCGGCAUCCUGGACCGGGAUUGACACUGAGGCGGCGAAAGCCAAGGGAGGUCAAACCGGG
rnacentral:rRNA from 1 species